CUCGGACAACAUUUGAUUGAAAACAGUGACUGUUUUCAUCCUGUUCAAAACGUAGCAAAAGCUUUGCUGCUGGCGCCGCCCACUCCAUUCGCUACACUACUAUUUUCACAAUGGUCCGAGGAGACAUCAGCGUUGGUUGCUGCGACAUUCGAGAAGGACGGAACACCUCAGUGUUCCCCCGAUCAGGACCGAGCUGAGGCUAAAACCAACGGAGGCGGCGGCGCUGGGGGGUCUUGCUGCUGCAGCAGACGACGCGCGUGCGCAGGAGAGAGAGAUGGCCAUUGGCCAAGGAGACUAGAAGCCGUUCAUCUCGAGCAGGUAGGUGCGACGCUUGCUGAGCGCGGCCACGGCCUCCCUGAGAGGCCCGUCGAAGGCGUUGGCGGCGAACUCGUCGAGACCCUUCCUGCCGCCGCCGCCGCCGGUGCCCGCGGUGGCCUCGCCGACGGGCCUGAUGACCACGAGCGUGGCACCGUGGAUCCUGGUGCCGUCCGACAGCUCCAGCAGCGGCGCGUAGCGGAGCUUCAUGUUGCAGGCGGGCACCUGCGUGCGGUUGGCGGCGGCGGCCGCCGCGGCGAGCGGCUUGUCCCUGAACUCCUUCAGCUGCUCGCGCCCCAUGCUGAGCGUGCCCUGCCCGUUGGCGUCCGUCAGCGCGACCUGCUCCAGCGUGGGGUGCUCCUUGACGAUCUCGCGGAGGAGGUAGUGCCUGGUAGCCGCGGCGAUGAGCGAGCUGAUGGUCCAGACCACGCGCAGCUUCAGCCCGCCGUUGGUGUAGAAGGACUCCGGGAUGCUGCCACCGCCGCCGCCGCCGUCGCCCGCGUCCUCGGCGUCGGCGUCGGCGCCGGUGGGGGCGCGGGGACCCGCGGCGGCCCGGUCCACCUUGGUGCCGCCGAGGAUGACGCAGCUCUGCAGCGUGCUGCCGAACACGGCCUUCCACCUGAGCACGACGCCGUCGUCGGUGCCGACGUCGGACACGGGGAGCUCCAUGCGGAGGUUGCGGAUGCUGCUGAAGUUCUUGAGCACCUGGGCCGGCGAGUGGUGCUGCUGCUGCGCCUGCGCCUGCGCGUGCUUGUGCGCCGCCGCCGCGGACUUGGCGUCGCAGUGCGCGAAGGGCUUGAGCACGGCGAGCAGCACGGCCUUGAGGAGGUGCGAGAGCACGGCGCGCGGGCGCGGCGCCCCCGCGAGGCCGAGGAGCGCGUCGCCGUCGCCGUCGCCGGCGGGGAUGACGCGGUCGAUGCGCAGGCAGGCGUCGUCCACGAGCGGGACCAGCGCGUUGAAGCGGCGCGACACCGCGGAGCAGCGCCCCAGCGACCGCGCGUCGGCGACCUUGUUGAAGAUGAGGAGCACCAGGGAGUCGGGCACCCGGUCGAAGUGGUCCUCGCCCUCCGCCGCCAGGAGCAGGUCCUCCGCGAAGACCCGGUGCUUGGACUGCAUCCUGUCCUGCCUGUGGCUUGGAUCCUUGCCGCAGCUCACAGCUCGCAGAUGAGGAAGCGAAGGGAGUAGCUGAGGUAGGAAGAGGAUGGUGGUGGCGAGUGAAGGCGUGGCGGAGGCGCUUAUAAAGGCGACGACGGAGGAGACGGAGACCGACCGUUUGUUGAAGUCCAUCCAUGGCUCGCUGUCGGGGUCGGGACGCCCCUAAUCAUACCGUUACCCGGAUCAGCUACGUAUUUUUCUACCGUUGCCUGCCUUAUCUCUCUGCCCAGCUGGUCCUAGGAGAUUAGGUUUAAUUAAUCAACCAUUCCUCCUCGUCUCGCCCGAUCCUAUUCCUGCAGAAUCUGUGCAACGGUACUCUCAGUCAGUAGUCAGCAGCCG
rnacentral:misc_RNA from 1 species